rnacentral:lncRNA from 1 species
AUGUACUUGCAACAGAGAAUGAAGUCUUUUCUUCUCCAACUCUCUCUCCGACUUCCCGUCUCUGCAAAUUUCUCACAUCUUCUUGUACUUUCAAUAGUUAUAUUUUUUAUUUAAUUUCUCACCCAUCUUCUUCUUAAUUGCAUCCUACUCUUCCUUUUGCAUACUCGAACUAUAAACCCUAGUUCAAAUUUGGGUUUGGUGGGUUCAAUUUAUUGCAGUUUAGAACCAAUUGGCUCUCUCUCUCUCUCUCUCUCUCUCUCUCUCUCUCUCUCUCUCUCUCUCUCUCUCUCUCUCUCUCUCUCUCUCUCUCUCUCUCUCUCUCUCUCUCUCAGCAUCAAUCAAUUGAACUAGGUUUUGUUCUUAUUCAAUGAUAAUUUAUUCUAAAUUCCAUCAAUUUUGUAAACUUUUAAUAGCUUUAGAUGUUUGUAUGAGGAAACAAAAGCAAACAUAAGAAGAUUUUUGGUAGAAAAGUUACAGAAAUUGCAGACGGAAUUAGCCUUCAUUCACAAUGCAAACUCAAAACUAAGGUUAGUUGGUCCAACUGUUCAUUUAGUAGUAGAAGAAGAUGUUGAAACUUAUUAAUAUUGGUUUGAUAAUAUUCAAAAUUUUAUAAUUAAUUUCAGAAAUGUUGUGUUUUUAUGUACAAGAAUCAAUUUUGGAAGGAGGACAAACAGUUUUAGGGUCGGCAAUUCAAGCUAUCGUGGUAGUUGGGGUCGGCAAUUGUUCGAGGAGUUGCACACAUUUAAGAAGAAGAAAAAGAUACAAAAGUUAGAAGAAGAAGAAGAACGAACAGAGUAGUUGGGGUCGGCAAUUGUGCGAGCAGUUGCACACAUUUAAGAAGAAGAAAAAGUUACAAAGGUUAAAGGAAGAAGAAGAAACAGAACCGACAAAAAACAAACUAGUGAGUGGACUCUAAUUUGGAUAAAUUAUUUUUAAUGUGAUUUUGAUGCGCCUUGGUCAUGUACAUUAGAAUAUGGUUACUGUUGGUUUUAAUAUCCUAUACAUAUAUCAUGAUGAUAGUGAAAUUGUAUGUAUAUUAGCUUUAUUUUAAGUUUCAACAGAUCAACUUCCUGAAAGUUGGCAUGUGGCAGUGGCAUUCACAAACUCAGAUAAUAUGUUGCAUAUAAUCAAUAGAGUUCAGAGCUAAGAUAACAUUUGAUUCUCCUCCAUGACCAUUUCUAUAAUUAAACAUAAUAGUGCUUUAUUUUUAUUUUUUUCAAAUGCAAAGAAAUAGCUUAUUUUAAAAUAAAGGCUUAUUUUCCAUUUGUAUAAAAAUUUGAGGAAGGCUUUUAUAUAAAUUGAUAUACAAUUCUAGGCACGCUUUCUUCAUUAAGGGGCAGCAAGCAAUUGAUAUAGCCAUUAUGGAAAGAGUACUACUAUGAUAGCUUGAAUAUAUAUAUAUAGUAAAAAACCACAAUUUUUACGAUUAUUUAUGCAAACUAGUCUACCUAUUUCUAACGUUAGUCCCCAUCGUGUCACGGUUCUAUAUUUAUACAAUUCAUCAGUUUGUAAACUACAAUUGAAGUAAUUGUAAGUCUGUAACAACUGAAGAAUGUAUGAAUUUACUUUCCAAUACCUCUUGUUUUGUUUAUCUUUUUAAUUUAUUAAUUUUGGUGGCGGUAUGUUUUGUUUAUUUUUUCAAAAAAAUAAAAAAAAAAUCGCAAGCAAAUGCUAGUAUAUCGAACAAUGUUCACAUGAUAUUUAAAUUUCACAGUACUCUAGCUUUAGGGUCCUUUGCAGUAUCGAGACUUUGAUAAAGAACUUCAUUUUUACUUGAAGGUAAUUUAUAUUAGAAAUUUUAAUUGUAGUGCAUAAUACAUGACAGUGUAGUGUGAGCCACCCAAAUACAAUAUUUGUGUUACAGCCCAACCUGCUGACCUGUCACAUAUAAUAUUGGCUUAAGAUUUUGCAGCAAUGCAAAAUGCUCUUGUGUGGUCGAUUCCACCUAAUUAUGCCAUCCAUUCAAUUACCAGGACACAGUUUAAGUUUCAAUACUAUAGAUAUUGGAACUUAAGUAUGUUGCUGGCAUCAUUUUUUGAAUCAUUUGCAUUGAGCAUAGUCGAAAACUAUAUACAUGAAAUUAUUUUCUGGUAAAUCCUAUUCAUUAUAUUGUUUAAGCUGAUACUUAAUGUAACACCCCGGGUCAGCAGGUGGUUUGCCGAGGGGGUGGAUCCUACGACACCUAAGAGGAGGAUGUCCUGACAUUGGAAUAUAGGUAUAGAUCCGUCAUAUAUAAUCACCGAGGCCUUUUGGGCUCACUUGGCUACAGAGUUCGAAAGAACUCCAGAGUUAAGCGUGCUCGGGUGGGAGUAGUCUCAGGAUGGGUCACCUCCUGGGAAGCAGGUUGUUGCCCAUAAAACCCCACACUGUCGGAUGUCCGCAGUGGUUAAGUGGGGACAAUAUCGGUGGUGAUAUAGGUCGGGUCGCUACAAAUGGUAUCAGAGCCGACGACGGUUCUCCUGUCGAGGGUGGGAGAGUAUGCUGGAAAGGCGCCUAGGUCGGUAAAGGGGUGACGGUUGCGCCGGGUACUCGUCUCGCGAGGGGCGGGGAACGUCGGAGAUCUGGGACUGUAUAUUCCAGAGCCGAGGACGACUCUCCUCUAAGGUGGUGGGAUUGUAACACCCCGGGUCGGCAGGUGGUUUGCCGAGGGGGUGGAUCCUACGACACCUAAGAGGAAGAUGUCCUGACAUUGGAAUAUAGGUAUAGAUCCGUCAUAUAUAAUCACCGAGGCCUUUUGCGCUCACUUGGAUACAGAGUUCGAAAGAACUCUAAAGUUAAGUGUGCUCGGGUGGGAGUAGUCUCAGGAUGGGUCACCUCCUGGGAAGCAGGCUGCUGCCCAUAAAACCCCACACUAUCGGAUGUCCGUAGUGGUUAAGUGGGGACAAUAUCGGUGGUGAUAUAGGUCGGGUCGCUAUACUUAAGUUUAUAUCUUUGUCCCUACAGGUCUUACAAAGGAUGUACUUAGUGUUUCGUUUAGCCCUGAUGGGUAACAUCUGGCUAGUGGACCUACACUUGUACAGGUUAGAUUUUAAGUGUUUCCUAUUGCAUAUACCCGAUUAGCUAUGUUGCCUAGACUCCUCCAUUUUUUACACCAAGGUGAUACCAUAGUGACUUUUGAAUGAAAAUGCCAAAGAUAGAUUCAAUUUGUUAUCUAGUGAAUGCUGGUAAAUAAAAGCGUUACCAUUUGAAUGCUUUUUAACAGUAUGUUCUUCUUACUGAUCCAAGGCAUACAAAUUGGUUCUUUGUAUUGCGUGGUCACCUGACGGUAAACAUCUCGUGAGUGGAAGCAAGGCUACAGGACUUUUAAGUUAGGACCCACAAACGGGAAAGCAAUCCGGCAACCCAUUCAUUGUAAGUCUUCAUAAUUAAUAAGGUUAUUUAAUACAUUUUGUCAAAGCAGAUUGUUUGUACAGUACUAGUUGAAGAACUAUUGGGAGAGCAAAGUUUGCUUGUAGAGAGAUUUUUAAGUAUUAUACCUGCUACAAUUUAAUCUAAACUAGCACUUUUGCCGAAUCACACCACUGCUGGUCUGAUCACUGAUCAGAUUUAAAAGUUGUUUUUAUGAUAUGAUUAACUGCAUGAGAGCAAUGACAAUCAUAUCACACGAUUUAAUUAAUUUUUAUGCUUAUGUAAUUAUUUUUUCUCUAUGCAGAUCAUGAAUGGAUUCAAUGCCAAUAAUGCUCUAAAUUUAUGAGUUUGCCAAAAAGGGUUCACUAAAAAAUCAUCCACAUGAUCCUAAGAACACAGGUAAGAUUUCAAGUUUCAAGUUACCGUGAACAUUAACUAGGCAUGUUUUAACCGGUUUGAGUGCAUGCUGCUUAUAUGCACUUGAUCCUAAUGUGUUACUUUGAUUGUUAGAAUAUUAAAGCAAUAUAAAUUUGUUUCCUAGAUUGUGUUAGAGUUCAAAUUGCAGUCGACAUGGCCCGUUUGGUUUACAUUCAUGGACACGUAAACUAAAAUUUUCAUCUAUGCAAUUAUUAAUUAUUAUUAAACCUAAUUGAGUAUUCUCUUUGUAGAUUUUUUUUUGUAUUUGUGAAGGAGGUUAUAGCUCGAACAAAAUAAAGCUGUGGUGGUGAAGAUGAAUCCGAGAAGACAUGACAGAUCUUGACUUCUAAGUCCACAUAGAUAUUUUCUCUAGUUUUGAUACUUAUUGUAUACUUUAUUUGUCAGUUUGUGACAUUCAUUAUUAUGUGUAAAGAGUUUAUGUGUAAUUGCUAUUUUUUAGGAUUUAGGAUUAAUAAGUUGUAAUUGCAUAAAUAAGUUGUAAUUGCACAUUGAGAAAAAGUAAUGAAUAAAAAAUUAUUUAGGAUUAUGCUUUGCGCAGUUUCAAGUGUUUUUUUUUUUUUUUUUUUUUUUUUUU